UCUGGACACGUGCACGGUUCUGUCACCAGCUGGUCAACGGCUGAAAAUCGUGUAUAUAAAAUUCGAAUCGUAAGCACUCAGAAUAUUUUGGGACAAAAUUUCAAGGUGUUCUGACAAUUUCUGCAUACGAAGAUGAAUCUUUCAACAGUUUCAGUGUUUGUUGUAACGUUACUUGCGUGCUACGUCAUCAAAACGGAAGGCGUCUCUUUUCUUGGAGCUAUGCCCGAUGAAUGUAUCAAAGACGGAGUUAGGUAUCCAGACGGAGCGGAUAUCGAAGGCGACAAAUGUGACGGGUGUAAAUGUACUUCCGGUACAAUCACGUGCACUUACGUCAUAUGUCCAAGUCUCAUGUGUGACGUUGUCGACCGAUACGUCCCGCCUGGUCAGUGCUGUCAGGUGUGUCUCUAAUAGUUGGAACCAACGACGAGGCGUGUUGAAUCCGGACAUUAUUUUGUAUGUUUUAUGAACAAAUAUGAAUAAAAUUGAAUAAUUGAAUAUGAAA